GUGUCUAUGUAUGCAAUCCGGCUCGCUGGCUGACUACGGAUCAGAAGGUCUGGGGUUCGAAUCCCUACAGCCGCG
rnacentral:tRNA from 1 species